AAGUUGAAACAUCCUAUAAUCCUCCAAAUACUCCGCAAGGUUACAUUUUUGCAGUGAAAAGGGAAGAUGAGUGCUGCUUAUCCACCAGUUAUAGAAUGAUCAAGAUUGGGCUUUUAUGUCAUAGAAGAAUAUCAUCAAUAAAACAUUGCUUCAGCAACAUUUUUCAUCAAGAUUUGCUUAGCUGUAGCAGAGGAAUGGUGACACUAAUAGUGGCUACCACCAUAGACCCUGCUUCCAUUGGCCCUGCAUCUGCCCUUCUAGCCAUGCCUGGAUGGCACCCUGGUCCUCCCAUUCAGGAUGUGCCAAGUUUUGUGAAUCGAGAUGUAAGGCUAUUGAAACAUGAUAGCAGCAUUGUGAAAGAGGACCACCUGGACAUGCGUUGGGAAGAUACCACAGGCGAGACGGUUGAUGAGGUUAUCUUUCUUAGCAAGCACACUGCUGCAUCUAAUCGUCCUGCACUUACAGUUCACCCCAUAGGUGUGCCUCACCUAACAGAGGGGGACCAGCUGCCGGUAGGUGGGAAGCCUGCCUGGGCUGCACCACCGAAUCCACGUAUAGGACCGUGGUUUAGACUAUUGAAAUCUAUUGCUGACUCACAGAAUCUAACUCCUGAAUUCGAGGUCACAUUGGAAGCUACACAUCAUGGUCCUGUAACUAAUGCACCCACAAUGUUUGUAGAGAUCGGCAGCACAGAGGAGUACUGGAAGAGGCAGGAUGCUGCACAAGCCAUUGCCUUAUUAGUCUGGGAAGGACUAGGGCUCGGGGGAGGGGAUGCAGUGGGGGAUUGGAGCAGAAAUUGUUGUCUGCAAAAGAUUCUCCUAGGAAUUGGUGGGGGACAUUAUGUACCACGGCAUAUGGAUAUAGUUCGGAAAGAUGGAGUUUGGGUUGGACACCUUAUUGCUGGAUAUUCAUUACCAAUGGAGGACCCUGGUCCGUCCAAAUCGCAGUCCAACUUGGAGGUGGGUGGAACUUGGAAACAAGCAAUCAGAGUUGCUUUUGACACUACUAGCGCAGCUUUUCCUCAAGGAGAAGUACUAGCACAUCUCGAUAACAAGAGUUUCAAAGGUUGGCAAAGAAAUGCUAUAGUUGGAUUUUUAGCAGAGCAGAACAUUAAAGUUGGGAAGCCAAGUGAUUUCUGCUAAUUCUAUUACAUUUCUCUCUUUUAUUGCAACUUGUAAGAAAUAAAUUCUACUUAGUGAUCUACUAUCAGUUCAAGUUUCUAUGGUGAAAUAUUUGAGUAAA
rnacentral:misc_RNA from 1 species